UUCCACAACAUUUUGCAGAUGUUUUCCCCAAUUUCUGUGCUAAAAUAGGAUCCUUCUCUUCAAAUUCCUCCUGGUGUGAGGGUGUAACUGAAAAGAGUUGGACGAGAUUAUCUCUUUGACUGAAUACAUUCCUACAUCUAGCUUUUCUUUGGACCCAAUUCUUUCAGAGUAAAAUGUCAAUUCGAACAAACAAGAUGAAAGCCAUAGGUGUGUUGAUGAAGCAGUUGACGACAUCAAGGAGGAAAUUCCAUGAAAGAGGAAGAGAUGAAUCGUUUGAUGGGGAGUUGGAGAAGUUGCGGUUGGUUCUGAACAAUAUAAAGGAUGUGUU